rnacentral:lncRNA from 1 species
CUUUUUUUUCCCCCUGAGAUGGAGUCUCACUCUAUCGCCCAGGCUGGAGUGCGGUGCAGUGGCAUGGUCUUGGCUCACUGCAACCUCCACCUCCUGGGUUCAAGCAAUUCUCCUGCCUCAGCCCCCCAAGUAGCUGGGACUAUAGGCAUGCCCCACCACGCCCAGAUUAUUUUUGUAUUUUUAGUAGAGACAGGGUUUCACCAUAUUGGCCAGGCUGGUCUCGAACUCCUGACCUCAAGAUCUGCCCACCUUGGCCUCCCAAAGUGCUGGGAUUACAGGCGUGAGCUACUAUGCCCAGCCUGUCCACCUCUUCCUUUAGCAAACAAAAUCCCUGGGCGACCAGAGUGACCCCAGAAAUUGGAGGAGGGCAGAGACCCCGUCUUUGGAGGUGAUGUGGAGGGUGUCCAGGCCCGCCCUUGUCUCACAGGCGCACACCCUGCUGGAGGCCAAGUGUCGGACAUGAAGGUGACGCUGCCCCAUGCUGUCCAGACACCCAGCAAUGCUCAGCACCCGGAAACAGGACCGGCCUCUGCUCUGCGUGGAGCCCACCCGGACAGUCCAUCUCAGCCCCUUCUACCCAGGGACCCCCAGGCCCCUGCCCGCAUGCAGGAACUGUCCUCUGGGCAGAGCAGCCCCCUCCCCAUGAGGGUCUCGCAGGCCCAGGACUCGCGUCCAGCAGCUCCUGGACAUGGCCUUGCUGCCCGGCCAGGGCUAGUGUCCGUGAACAGAGAAUAGUGUGUGUGAGCGGCUCUGUCAUCUGUCACUUGGGGCUGCCUGUGUCCCUCUCCAGGACCUCAGUGCCGAUCGCAGGAAAGGAUGUUGGCACGGCCCCCGGUGGGACAGGCCAGCCACGUUAGGGGAUGCUGCACGACAAAGCCCACGGCGGUGGUGUCACAUGAAUGUCACCUGCUCUUCACACCCAGCCUAGGAAGGGCUGUUGACUGGAGGCUGACAUACCCAGCGAGGCCUCUGACGUCCCUGUCACCCCCUGGGGUGGGAGAGUCCCCUCUUCCAGCCUGUCUGGGGCCUUGCCCCUCCCUACAGCCCAGCUCGGGAAACAAAUGCUCCUUCCAGCAGCAGCAGAGAGCUGUAGAGCCGGGGCUCCGGGCAGCUUCUGAAUCCAGCUCCCAGGCCACAGAUCACAGGGACAGGACGGGAGCCUCCCACACAGACGCCAGGCAGCAGGACCCCGGCUGGGAAGUCACAUCCAAAGGACAGAACCACCUGCCCAAGUCCCCUCCACUUCUGAGAACCACCUGCCCAAGUCCCCUCCACGUCUGAGAACCACCUGCCCAAGUCCCCUCCACAUCUGAACACUCAUUGCUGUGUCCGGACGCAGAAAUUCACACUCGGAUUUUGUCCGGCAUUCCCACUCCCUGCCCUGCUUGGAGAGGCAGGACCGCAGGUCUGCCGGCCCCAACGGCAGCGCCACAGUGCCCGGCACAGAGGCCUGCUGGUCGCGCAUACAAAGCACCCGCCGGCCAUUAUCAUUCCGGAGCCGGCCAGAGCCUCCCGGCUGCAUCUCAUCGGUCAUUCAGCAGCCCGUAAUGACUUGUCAGUUCCUUGCCCUGCCAUUUUCUGUCUAAUUAAUUCUUUUAUUGUGCACCGGAU